GCCAAAAAAGUAGUUGCAUCACAUGUUCGAGUAAAAACCAUGGAACUACUACCAGACAUCUCAGUCAGAAUGUACACAAGGUAGCAAUCCUUGUACUUGGCAGGAAUAAAGCGANNNNNNNNNNNNNAUGUGUCAACUGUGGAAUAUUUGGAUGCUGCUUCUAUCUUCACUGGAUUCCUUAGACAUGCCCUCUGAAGCUUUUUCACCUUUUUUGUCAUUGUUGCAGAAAAUAAAUAUGUUUUUCGAUCCCGUGGUAUAACCUUUAGAAUUUCAUCAAGUGAUUUCUCAAAAUCCUCAUUCAAUAACCUGUCUGCCUCAUCUAAAACCAAGUAUUUCAAUGUGCGGAGAGAAAAACCUUUUGUGUUUGACAAAUGAUCCACCAGGCGCCCAGGGGUCCCAACAAUGAUGUGUGGCCGCUUUCCAAGUGAUAUAGCCUGUUGCACCAUAUCUACCCCACCAACAAGGACAGCACAUUUCACACCAAUGCCAGAUCCUAAAGCUUCAAACUGCUCUGCUAUCUGAAUUGCCAACUCCCUUGUAGGAGACAGCACGCAAGCGAAGAAAGCUUGCACAGAUUUCUCGGAAGCUUCAAGAAGCGAUUGUAAUAUGGGAAGAGCAAAAGCUCCUGUUUUACCUGACCCCGUUUGCGCAAGACCGAUCAAGUCUUUGCCUUCG
rnacentral:misc_RNA from 1 species